AGGCGGUACCUGGACGGGUUCGUCCCGGGCUGUUUCGCGUCCGGCCUGAGGCGGCUGGGGCCGCGCAGGUAGUGUCCCUGCACUUCUUGCCCGGGCGCGUGAGGCCAGCUCCGCUGCGCUUGUCUCCAGCUUCCAGCCCUCCUCCCCUAAGCCGCCGCCAUCAUGCUGCUGCCUGUGUUCACCCUGAAACUGCGCCACAAAAUCAGCCCCCGAAUGGUGGCCAUAGGGCGCUACGACGGGACUCACCCGUGCCUGGCGGCCGCCACCCAAACGGGCAAGGUUUUUAUUCAUAAUCCUCAUACACGGAACCAGCAUGUCAGUGCAUCCAGGGUCUUCCAGAGCCCCCUGGAAUCUGAUGUUUCUCUUCUCAGCAUUAACCAGGCAGUCAGCUGUCUGACUGCAGGCGUAUUGAACCCUGAGCUUGGCUAUGAUGCCCUUUUAGUGGGGACACAGACUAAUCUUUUGGCUUAUGAUGUCUACAAUAAUUCGGAUUUGUUCUACAGAGAGGUAGCAGAUGGGGCAAAUGCAAUUGUGCUGGGGACAUUGGGAGACAUUUCUUCCCCUCUUGCGAUUAUUGGUGGCAAUUGUGCUCUGCAAGGUUUCAAUCAUGAAGGAAGUGAUCUCUUUUGGACGGUUACUGGAGACAAUGUUAAUUCCUUGGCCUUGUGUGACUUUGAUGGUGAUGGAAAGAAAGAGCUUCUUGUUGGAUCUGAGGAUUUUGAUAUCCGAGUUUUUAAGGAAGAUGAGAUUGUGGCAGAAAUGACAGAAACAGAGAUAGUCACCUCUCUUUGUCCCAUGUAUGGCAGUCGAUUUGGUUAUGCCCUUUCCAAUGGCACAGUUGGAGUUUAUGACAAAACAUCCCGAUACUGGAGAAUUAAAUCGAAAAAUCAUGCCAUGAGCAUUCAUGCUUUUGACCUUAAUUCUGAUGGAGUGAAUGAACUGAUAACUGGUUGGUCCAAUGGGAAGGUUGAUGCUCGAAGUGACCGAACUGGGGAGGUCAUCUUUAAGGACAAUUUUUCUUCUGCAAUUGCCGGUGUGGUAGAGGGAGAUUACCGGAUGGAUGGCCACAUACAGUUAAUCUGCUGCUCAGUGGAUGGGGAAAUCCGGGGCUACCUGCCUGGCACGGCUGAGAUGAGGGGCAACCUCAUGGACACCAGUGCAGAGCAGGACCUGAUCCGAGAGCUGAGUCAGAAGAAGCAGAAUCUGUUGCUGGAACUCCGUAACUAUGAGGAAAAUGCCAAGGCUGAAUUGGCCAGUCCACUGAACGAGGCUGAUGGGCAUCGGGGCAUAAUCCCAGCCAAUACCAGGCUCCACACCACGCUCUCAGUCAGCCUGGGGAAUGAGACCCAAACUGCUCAUACAGAAUUACGCAUUUCCACUUCUAAUGACACCAUCAUCCGAGCAGUAUUGAUUUUUGCAGAAGGAAUUUUUACAGGUGAAAGCCACGUGGUACAUCCCAGCAUUCACAACCUCUCCAGUUCCAUCUGCAUCCCUAUUGUGCCUCCCAAAGAUGUCCCUGUGGAUCUGCACUUGAAGGCAUUCGUGGGUUACAGAAGCAGCACCCAGUUUCAUGUAUUUGAAUCGACAAGACAGCUCCCUCGAUUCUCCAUGUAUGCGCUGACCAGCCUGGACCCUGCCAGUGAGCCAAUCAGUUAUGUUAACUUUACCAUUGCAGAACGGGCACAGAGGCAGUAAAACUAGAAAGAAGGAGAACUCUUCCCUCAAGAAUGGCUGUACCUUCAUAUCUAGAGGCACAUUAAAAAAAAGAACGUCUGUACCUUAAAAAUGGAGGUCAUUUCAUUGUGUUCAUUUUCAAGGUUGUUGUAUGGCUCGGUCAGAACUUUCUGUUACCAGAAGACACUCACAUUCAGAAUGCUCCAUUUCAAGUGUGUUUCACAUCUUUACGGAAUGGCGGCCACCUGCAUAUAAAAAUAAAACUUAGUGGAGAGAUCACUAUAAAUACUGAUGAUAUUGAUUUGGCUGGUGAUAUCAUCCAGUCAAUGGCAUCAUUUUUUGCUAUUGAAGACCUUCAAGUAGAAGCGGAUUUUCCUGUCUAUUUUGAGGAAUUACGAAAGGUGCUAGUUAAGGUGGAUGAAUAUCAUUCAGUGCAUCAGAAGCUCAGUGCUGAUAUGGCUGAUCAUUCUAAUUUGAUCCGAAGUUUGCUGGUCGGAGCUGAGGAUGCUCGUCUGAUGAGGGACAUGAAAACAAUGAAGAGUCGUUAUAUGGAACUCUAUGACCUUAAUAGAGACUUGCUAAAUGGAUAUAAAAUUCGCUGUAACAAUCACACAGAGCUGUUGGGAAACCUCAAAGCAGUAAAUCAAGCAAUUCAAAGAGCAGGUCGUCUGCGGGUUGGAAAACCAAAGAACCAGGUGAUCACUGCUUGUCGGGAUGCAAUUCGAAGCAAUAACAUCAACACACUGUUCAAAAUCAUGCGAGUGGGGACAGCUUCUUCCUAGGUGAGGAAAAUACAGGUCAUGAAGUUCCUGGCAAAGAUUUUCUGUUAAAAACCUAUGCUGGUUUGCUUUGGAUCACACCCUGGUGAACCCCGGGUGCUAAGAAUGAAAAUAACCUUGGUGAGUUGUACAAAUUAAAGACAAAGAACUACAUGUGAAGAUAGACUUGCUUUCUAUUUUUAAAUCAGUAGUAGUACUGUUGCUGAAUAAUACUAGGUUUUUAUGGAAUAGGAUGAAUGCUUUUGAAGUAUUAGGGCUUCAGAGUCCAAUUUUGCUUAUUUAUGGUAUAUAAAUACAUAUUUUUUUCUUGAAAUUGCAAUUGAGUUUGUACUUUUCAAAUAGAUUAUCUACUUUUUCAUUAAAAUGUAAAGAUGUUAAA